GACGAACGCUGGCGGCGUGCUUAACACAUGCAAGUCGAACGGAAAGGCCCUGCUUUUGUGGGGUAUCCAACUGGCGAACGAGCGAGUGACUCAUGAGUAACCUGCCCUUGAUUCUGGGAUAAAUUAAAGAAACUGGGGCUAAUACCUGAUAGGAGCUCCUGCUUCACGGUGGGGGUUGGAAAGUUACGGCGGCUGGGGCUGGUCUCGCGGCUUAUCAGCUUGUGGGUGGGGUAGUGGCUUACCAAGGCUUUGACGGGGCGCCGGCCUGAGAGGGUGACCGGGCACAGUGGGAUUGGGAUGCGGCCCAUAGUGAUACGGGAGGAAGGAGUGAGGAAUAUUGGGAGCAAGGCGGAAGGAUGAUGCAGGAACGCCGCGUGGUGGAGGACGGCCUUCGGGGAGGAAACCGCUUUCGGCUGUGAGGAAGAGGGAGUGACGGUAAUGGGUAAAAAAGCAACGGCUAACUACGUG
rnacentral:rRNA from 1 species